AUGGCAGUGGAACUGAUGCCCCUCUCUGCCCCAGAGGACAGUGGGCUAGGGGUGGGUGCUUGCCAAUUGCCUGAUUUUGCCUCUUUCCAACUCCCAGCCAGGAGAAAGCGGAUGUGGCCCCUACUCAAUCACAUGGGUGCCCCCAGCUUCCCAGGUGGGCUUACCUGCAGCUGCCCAUUUUCCCUACGAGGCCUUCCACAUCCCCAUCUUUGCAUCCCUCUCGACAUGAGUGACAGUGCUGACUCCCUGCCCUUCUUUUCUACAGGGGGACAGAGGCGCCCUGAGACGGGACCCAGACUCAUCUCCUGGUUCUUAGAAUCUGUGUGUCCCCCUCUUCAGUUGAGAGAAAACAGGCAUUUUUGUCUCCCGCCUUUGGCCUCAGAUUGUGAUGGAAAGGCCAGCAGGGGUGCUCUGAAAAGUCCAGCUUCCUCUCCUGGCCGGAGGAGCCUGACUGCACCGGCCAUGUUAAGAAACCUGAGGAAUUCCUAAGGGUCUUAAAGACACAGUGAGGCUGCAAAUUGGUCUCUGGAGCCCUGCCUUUCCCCUGUGAAGCUGCUCUUCCUCCCACCGACCUUGGUGAACAGUGUAUCUCAGGUUCCAGCACCGGGAAAUGGUUUGUGUUCUGGCCCACCCCACCAGAUGGGCACCCUGACAGGAACACACAUCCUAGAUGACCCAAGACCAUGGGAAAACCCUCAACUCCAGACCACACUGCCUCUCUCUGGAGGGCUCGCCCUCUAUUCUAUUCCCACUAUUCUGAGUUAUACUUUUAAAUUCUGCCGAAUAAACCUCGUUAUGCUUCCUGUCUCUGCUUUGGGGACCUCUUCAGGCUAUCUCUGUGGGUGUCCUCUCUCAGUGGCUCAAACUGGGGCUUCCCUGGUUGGGAAAUGGUCUCUGAGGAUCCCAGGGUGUGGGAGCUCUGAGGGAAGCAGCCCUGUUCCCCCCACCCAUGCCAGCUCUGAUUGACAAGAGGGACCCUGGGUGCUUCUGAGGCAGGUGGCACAGUGGGUAGGAGCCCAGACACAGCGCCGAGUUGCCAGGUGUAGUGAAUUCUUAGAACUGUGUUGCCUUGGCAUCUGCUUUGACUGUAGUUGAAUUCUUUUGUGGCCAGAGUGGAGCUCAGUCACCCAUGUGACCCGAUUUCUAGUCCCCACCUCCUUCCAGCUCCUCAAGGUGGUCAGUCUGUGUCUCCUGAUGGCCACGUCUGUGAGGGACAGCUAGACAAACCUGCUUGAUGCACCCCACAGACCCCAUACCUUGCAGGACACACAGACGAACAGUCACAGUGCUGUCGGGUAGUUCCUUUAAAAAUGGCUCGCCAAACAAAAGUAUUCCAGGUCCUUUUCGUCUUGAACAAAGAAUGGGAUGAGACCAGCCAAAAACAGUGUCAAAGGUUUAUUUCAGCGGUGAGGGGUGAAGGGGUAAGGGAAAAACAAAAGAAAGGAUAAAAGUAAAAAUAAAAGUUCAGGAGACACAGGGAAGGCUACCAUGAAGAAUCACAAUAGCGGGAUCCUCAUGUCAUCUUGUCUCUUUAUGUUGUCUACAUCUGAUGAGAACCUGUGAGAAGUUUUACAUACAGCAUCCUGGGAAUUAUUUGACACUGUCCUGGGAUCUUGUAAUUGGCAGGUCCUGCCUUAUUUUUCCAGCCAGCUCUGCCACGCCCACCUCCUAUGUCCACAGUGUUAGUCCACCCAGCUCAUGCCUGAUUGGUGCCCUAAACCCACCAAUCAGAGCUCCUAUGGGAAUCCCCCCUGGAGAACAUCCUGAACCCAUAGAGAGUUCUGGUCCACAGGUCCCUCUCUCCUCUCCCUGCCCCCUUCCACUGGUGGAGCUUCUGCUAUCUCUAGACUUCCUGGGGGCCCUCCAGGGUCCCUUCCUCUCUCAGCUUUGGUGAGCUGCCUCAUGCUGAAGCAGGACUUAAAGAAAGACAACUUCCCGGCCUUGGGCAAUCCCCUCCCCCACUUUGGGUCGCCCCCUCGCCCUUGUAGCUGUAACUCCUUGUUCUGGUACAAGGUGAUAAAAUUGACAACCAUGUCCUAUAAACAAAGUUUAUUGUCAGGUAAAAGGGCCGAAGACCAAGACCAGACCAGGCCACAACAAGCCUUUAUUAGGGGAACAGAUCUGCCAGGCUGUCUCUGAACAAAGGAGAGACAAAAGCAAUAUGGCCGGGGCAGGGAGAGCCUUUUAUAGAGCCUGGGGUGGGGUUUGUAGGGGCUGAGGCAGGGUUGAGUGAGGUAGUGACUAGGGAAUGGAGGAGCCGGUGACGUCACUAGGUGGUAGGAGGGGAGCGAGUAUUAGGUUACUCUCUAGGCGGGAACAGGGGCAUGCUGGGAAGAAGGGUUUGUUCUUUGGUGGGAGCAACCAUCUUGGUGUGACGUCACACAGGGGAGGGGGCAAGGCACAAGAGGAAGAGGGCAGCUCCUACAUAAUAGCUGCUGAGGUGGUGGGAGACCUGUCAUUUAUGACACCCUGUUCUCACAUGAUUCAUAAGACAGUCUUCUUUCAAGGAUAAGUUACAAGACUGUCUGCCUUUGUCCUGUUCUGGGAAGCUCACUUGCUACAUCAUUAGAAAGACAAUCCUGCUUUGAGCAAAUGGAUGAAAGCUGGAACUUUUCUUUGUCCAACACUCUUCCUUUGGACAAGAGCCUGUUGAGCUGGAGUUGACCUAAAACCCGAAAUAAAAUCCUCUUGGUUCCCACUGGUCUCUCCUGUCUCUUGAAAUCCAGCAACACUGUGUCUCCCCUGACCA
rnacentral:lncRNA from 1 species